rnacentral:rRNA from 1 species
AUUGAACGCUGGCGGCAGGCCUAACACAUGCAAGUCGAACGAGUGGCGGACGGGUGAGUAAUGUCUGGGAAACUGCCCGAUGGAGGGGGAUAACUACUGGAAACGGUAGCUAAUACCGCAUACCAUCGGAUGUGCCCAGAUGGGAUUAGCUAGUAGGUGGGGUAAGGGAUCACCUAGGCGACGAUCCCUAGCUGGUCUGAGAGGAUGACAAGCCACACUGGGACGUAGACACGGUCCAGACUCCUACGUGAGGCAGCAGUGGGGAAUAUUGUACAAUGGGCGCAAGCCUGAUGCAGCCAUGCCGCGUGUAUGAAGAAGGCCUUCGGGUUGUAAAGUACUUUCAGCGGUGAGGCGUUACCCGCAGAAGAAGCACCGGCUAACUCCGUGCCAGCAGCCGCGGUAAUUC